rnacentral:rRNA from 1 species
UACAGAGGGGGCAAGCGUUGUUCGGAAUUACUGGGCGUAAAGGGCGCGUAGGCGGCCUUCUAAGUCGAACGUGAAAUCCCUGGGCUUAACCCAGGAACUGCGUCCGAGACUGGAAGGCUUGAAUCCGGGAGAGGGAUGCGGAAUUCCAGGUGUAGCGGUGAAAUGCGUAGAUAUCGGAAGGAACACCAGUGGCGAAAGCGGCUUCCUGGUCCAGCACCGACGUUCAGGCACGAAAGCGUGGGGAGCAAACAGG